rnacentral:rRNA from 1 species
GAUGAACGCUGGCGGCGUGCCUAAUACAUGCAAGUCGAGCGAACGGACGAGAAGCUUGCUUCUCUGAUGUUAGCGGCGGACGGGUGAGUAACACGUGGAUAACCUACCUAUAAGACUGGGAUAACUUCGGGAAACCGGAGCUAAUACCGGAUAAUAUUUUGAACCGCAUGGUUCAAAAGUAAAAGACGGUCUUGCUGUCACUUAUAGAUGGAUCCGCGCUGCAUUAGCUAGUUGGUAAGGUAACGGCUUACCAAGGCAACGAUGCAUAGCCGACCUGAGAGGGUGAUCGGCCACACUGGAACUGAGACACGGUCCAGACUCCUACGGGAGGCAGCAGUAGGGAAUCUUCCGCAAUGGGCGAAAGCCUGACGGAGCAACGCCGCGUGAGUGAUGAAGGUCCUCGGAUCGUAAAACUCUGUUAUUAGGGAAGAACAUAUGUGUAAGUAACUGUGCACAUCUUGACGGUACCUAAUCAGAAAGCCACGGCUAACUACGUG